UGUAAAUCCAUCUAUGUCUUAGACUUUAUGCACACACUGUAUACAGAUUGUCCCAGCAUGCUUCAACAUGAGACAGCUUGUGUGUCAUUCCUGUCACAGGCAGACAGAUGAUCACAUUUGUUGUUCCUUUAGCUUUCUACAUGUUUACCUGUCCGUAUGUGGAAACUGCCAUUAGUUUAUGAAAACAUGCAAAAUAACAGUAAAAAAAGCAUGUGAUAAUUCAAUUUCCUAAACAAACAUGUCUUAGUUCCAGUUAGUAUACUCUUAGCAUUACUCUUUCCAAGACAUUUUUAAAUGUUCUAACUGUUCUUACUGCUUAAUGCUUUUAGUUGAAACGUCUAAUGGUGUAAUAGGAACGAAUGUUUGGACACUAUGUUUUUAGCAAAUGUCUUUAUCCCACAUAAAAAUAUAG